rnacentral:lncRNA from 1 species
GCUGGCUGUAACUAGCACAGUGAGCAGGAGGCUGGCUGUAACUAGCACAGUGAGCAGGGGGCUGGCUGUAACUAGCACAGUGAGCAGGAAGCUGGCUGUAACUAGCACAGUGAGCAGGAGGCUGGCUGUAACUAGCACAGUGAGCAGGAGGCUGCUGUAACUAGCACAGUGAGCAGGGGGCUGGCUGUAACUAGCACAGUGAGCAGGGGGCUGGCUGUAACUAGCACAGUGAGCAGGGGGCUGCUGUAACUAGCACAGUGAGCAGGGGGCUGGCUGUAACUAGCACAGUGAGCAGGAGGCUGGCUGUAACUAGCACAGUGAGCGGGAGGCUGGCUGUAACUAGCACAGUGAGCAGGAGGCUGCUGUAACUAGCACAGUGAGCAGGAGGCUGGCUGUAACUAGCACAGUGAGCAGGAGGCUGCUGUAACUAGCACAGUGAGCAGGGGGCUGGCUGUAACUAGCACAGUGAGCAGGGGGCUGGCUGUAACUAGCACAGUGAGCAGGGGGCUGGCUGUAACUAGCACAGUGAGCGGGAGGCUGCUGUAACUAGCACAGUGAGC